GGGUGAGUAACGCGUAAGGAACUUGCCUCUUGGUCUGGGACAACUGUUGGAAACGACAGCUAAUACCGGAUAUUAUGAGAUUCUCGCAUGAGAAACUUAUGAAAGCUAUAUGCGCCAAGAGAGAGCCUUGCGUUCCAUUAGCUAGUUGGUGGGGUAACGGCCCACCAAGGCGACGAUGGAUAGCCGGCCUGAGAGGGUGAACGGCCACAAGGGGACUGAGACACGGCCCUUACUCCUACGGGAGGCAGCAGUGGGGAAUAUUGGACAAUGGGCCACAAGCCUGAUCCAGCAAUUCUGUGUGCACGAUGAAGGUCUUCGGAUUGUAAAGUGCUUUCAGUUGGGAAGAAGAAAGUGACGGUACCAACAGAAGAAGCGACGGCUAAAUACGUGCCAGCAGCCGCGGUAAUACGUAUGUCGCAAGCGUUAUCCGGAUUUAUUGGGCGUAAAGCGCGUCUAGGCGGAAAAAUAAGUCUGAUGUUAAAAUGCGGGGCUCAACUCCGUAUUGCGUUGGAAACUGUUUUUCUAGAGUACUGGAGAGGUGGGCGGAACUACAAGUGUAGAGGUGAAAUUCGUAGAUAUUUGUAGGAAUGCCGAUGGAGAAGUCAGCUCACUGGACAGAUACUGACGCUAAAGCGCGAAAGCGUG
rnacentral:rRNA from 1 species